AGUGAACGCUGGCGGUAGGCCUAACACAUGCAAGUCGAACGGCAGCACAGAGGAGCUUGCUCCUUGGGUGGCGAGUGGCGGACGGGUGAGGAAUACAUCGGAAUCUACUCUGUCGUGGGGGAUAACGUAGGGAAACUUACGCUAAUACCGCAUACGACCUACGGGUGAAAGCAGGGGAUCUUCGGACCUUGCGCGAUUGAAUGAGCCGAUGUCGGAUUAGCUAGUUGGCGGGGUAAAGGCCCACCAAGGCGACGAUCCGUAGCUGGUCUGAGAGGAUGAUCAGCCACACUGGAACUGAGACACGGUCCAGACUCCUACGGGAGGCAGCAGUGGGGAAUAUUGGACAAUGGGCGCAAGCCUGAUCCAGCCAUACCGCGUGGGUGAAGAAGGCCUUUGGGUUGUAAAGCCCUUUUGUUGGGAAAGAGAUCCAGCUGGCUAAUACCCGGCUGGGAUGACGGUACCCAAAGAAUAAGCACCGGCUAACUUCGUGCCAGCCGCCGCAGUAA
rnacentral:rRNA from 1 species